AUUGAACGCUGGCGGCAUGCUUUACACAUGCAAGUCGGCCGAGUGGCGAACGGGUGAGUAACUCAUCGGCACGUACCGAGUAAUGGGGGAUAACUGUCCGAAAGGACCGCUAAUACCGCCUAUUAUUCUAGCGGCCGUUAUCUGAUUAGCUGGUUGGCGGGGUAAAGGCCCACCAAGGCGACGAUCAGUAGCGGGUUUGAGAGGAGGAUCAGCAACACUGGGACGGAGACACGGCCCAGACGCCUACGGGAGGCAGCAGGGGGGAAUGGUGGACAAUGGGCGCAAGCCUGAGCCAGCCAUGCCGCGUGUAUGAAGAAGGCCUUCGGGUUGUAAAGGACUUUUGUCAGGGAAGCGGUACCUGAAGAAUAAGCACCGGCUAACUACGUGCCAGCAGCCGAGGUAAUAC
rnacentral:rRNA from 1 species